UUUGAACGAUUUCACUUCAACUUCGAUUCCUCAAAAACAGAAAAUCAUUGUCUUCAGUCCUAAAUUAAUCACCAUGCAAUCAGCAAAUUGUGUGUCAAUCACAAAACCGUAACAUCAGCGACUCUUGUAGGUCAAAUUAACGAAACAAAGAACAGGGAAACUAUUUCAUCAAAUCCAACACGCUGAACACGGUGCUGUCACGAAUCAAGACAAACUGUAAAAUUACCUCACUUUCAGUUGAUUUUGUUUUACGAAAAUGGAAUACACAGCAGAUCAGCUGAACUUCUUCAGGUUGUGUUAUAUCGUGUUCAACAUCGUACCUGAAGGUUUACGAACGAUUUUCAAGCAAGAAUGGGAUGCUUUAUACACAGCUACGCCUGGUCAGUGGGAUGACACGCCUACC